GUGGGGAAUAUUGGACAAUGGGCGCAAGCCUGAUCCAGCAAUGCCGCGUGCAGGAAGAAGGCCUUCGGGUUGUAAACUGCUUUUGUACGGAACGAAACGGUCCUGGCUAAUAUCCGGGGCUAAUGACGGUACCGUAAGAAUAAGCACCGGCUAACUACGUGCCAGCAGCCGCGGUAAUACGUAGGGUGCGAGCGUUAAUCGGAAUUACUGGGCGUAAAGCGUGCGCAGGCGGUGCUGUAAGACAGGCGUGAAAUCCCCGGGCUCAACCUGGGAAUUGCGCUUGUGACUGCAGUGCUGGAGUGCGGCAGAGGGGGAUGGAAUUCCGCGUGUAGCAGUGAAAUGCGUAGAUAUGCGGAGGAACACCGAUGGCGAAGGCAAUCCCCUGGGCCUGCACUGACGCUCAUGCACGAAAGCGUGGGGAGCAAACAGGAUUAGAAACCCGAGUAGUCC
rnacentral:rRNA from 1 species